rnacentral:rRNA from 1 species
AUAGCGUAUAUUAAAGUUGUUGCAGUUAAAAAGCUCGUAGUUGAACUUCAGGCUCGGUGGGGCGGUCCGCUUAACGGCGUGUACUGUCUUACUGGGUCUUACCUCUUGGUGAGCCGGCGUGCCCUUUAUUGGUGUGCGUCGGGGAACCAGGACUUUUACCUUGAGAAAAUUAGAGUGUUCAAAGCAGGCCUAUGCCCGAAUACAUUAGCAUGGAAUAAUAAAAUAGGACGUGCGGUUCUAUUUUGUUGGUUUCUAGAGUCGCCGUAAUGAUUAAUAGGGAUAGUUGGGGGCAUUGGUAUUGAGUCGCUAGAGGUGAAAUUCUUGGAUUGACUCAAGACCAACUACUG